AAUUUCUUUCAAAAACUGUAAAUAGGUCAAGAUAAUAAUGUCAGUCCAAUCAAGUCUAAAGGGAAAAGUGAAACAGAAACCUACUAAACUUAUCUCAAAAAUGAAGUGAAGUCAAUAUUGUGGACGUCUAACUUUUCACUUUAAAAGAACUGAUGAUCUUUAAGGGGAUACACCAUCUGCAGGAUAUCAGCUUUUAAUGCUGGCUCUGAAGAAGGGGACAUAUUAGUGCUGAAUGGGAUCACAUCUAAGAACAUGGAUGAACAGCCUUCAUCUAGGAGCACCAUGCUGCCCUCCGAGACCUCUUUGUGGAUCAUGGGUACCUUUUCAAUGCCUAUAGACUUUCAAUGUCUUUAUUGGGUGUGCUUUGGAUAGACACAGAAGGAAUAAUGGAUGAGCAUGACAAGAGAGAAAGAAUCUACACAAUUCAAGAAUAGUGCAAUGUCUGAUGAAUUGUUAUUGUCUAUGGGGGCUUAUGAGGAAAAGCAGCAUAAUGUGACAGGAAAGAACAUUUGGUGGGCAGGAACCAUAUUUAACAUUUGGGGUGAGACAGAGGAAGCUGUGAUAAUGCAAGGAAGAUGGAGCUCCUGUACCACAGAUGAGCAGAUCCAGAUCACAACAAACUUGAGAGGUCACUCUUUUUAAAGACCUUGUUGUCAACAUCAGAUGCCAGUGGCAGCAGUUUUGUAGAGUUUCAGCCAAGACCCAUACUGAACGAUCCCAGGAAAUAGUCCUGCAAACAUUUACCAUCAUAUUUCCUUAUAUGAUCUACCAGAAAUUGGGUAGACAUAUUGAUUCUCUUCUCAUCUAAUUCUGUGCUUAACUGAAUAAAGCAUAUUCGGAUAUUA